rnacentral:tRNA from 1 species
AGCUCGUCGGGCUCAUAACCCGAAGGUCGUUGGUUCAAAUCCAACCCCCGCCACCA